UACGUAGGUGGCAAGCGUUAUCCGGAAUUAUUGGGCGUAAAGCGCGCGCAGGUGGUUUCUUUAAGUCUGAAUGUGAAAGCCCACGGCUCAACCGUGGAGGGUCAUUGGAAACUGGGAGACUUUGAGUGCAGGAAGAGGAAAGUGGAAUUCCAUAGUGUAAGCGGUGAAAUGCGUAGAGAAUAUGGAGGAACACCAGUGGCGAAGGCGGACUUUCUGGUCGUGAUAACUUGACACU
rnacentral:rRNA from 1 species